rnacentral:piRNA from 1 species
UGUACACAUGUGUCACAUAUAUGAAGGUC